CAGUAGCCGCGGGAAUACGGAGGGUGCAAGCGUUAAUCGGAAUUACUGGGCGUAAAGCGCACGCAGGCGGUCUGACAAGUCAGAUGUGAAAUCCCCGGGCUUAACCUGGGAACUGCAUUUGAAACUGUCAGGCUGGAGUCUUGUAGAGGGGGGUGGAAUUCCAGGUGUAGCGGUGAAAUGCGUAGAGAUCUGGAGGAAUACCGGUGGCGAAGGCGGCCCCCUGGACAAAGACUGACGCUCAGCUGCGAAAGCGUGGGGAGCAAACAGGAUUAGAUACCCGUGUAGUCCCUGUCUCUUAUAC
rnacentral:rRNA from 1 species